AUAGGAGAAACCUUCUUCCACCGAGAAGGGGUCGUCCACGUCGUAACGCUGGUGUCCAUUGACCCAUCCCCAGCAUCUGGGAAGAUACUGUGGAUUCCAACUCAAGAGAAGAGGAGGAAAGAGGAAAAGGAAAUAGAGCUAUUUCACAAACUAUCAACAUGUAAAACUGAUUUGGGUUAGAAAUUCAAAAUGGGUUUGAUUUCGAAGAGAACAAUAUUUAGCAUCCAGGAGCAAUUUCUGGUUAAUCAUCAGAAUGGUGAUAUGAGUCUCCUUGAAUGGUGAUAUGAGUCUCCAGUCCACUGCCAAGAAACCCAGUGAAAUCUUCACACAAACCAGGAACUCCUGAGGAGCUCUCCCACCGAUUCAGAAGCUGAGAAACCAAAAAUACCACUGUGACAGCCUGGCCAGAGGCUGGUCAAGAGCCUCUAAAUGGAGAGGUUGCUUCUGGGCAGCAAAAGGAGAAGAAAAGACAGAACCAGAACCCAGUAUAUCACAGGCACACAGUAAAGCAGCCUGUUGUGGACACGUGCUGGAAGAGUGGUCUACCAGGAAUGGAGAAACCUCCUAGCCACAAUCCAAGGGGCAGAUGUCAACUUUACAACCAUAAGAAAAUGGGAAAUUUCCCUUGCCACAUAGAGUUUCAAAGUAAGUUCAUCACUAAGGAGUUUAGACAUCAUUCUGUAACUCACAUAGGAAGCCAUCACAAGUUUUUGGCAGGUAAGUGACAAGACGAGAGCUGUUCUUUAGGGAGACUGAUCUUGCAACUGCAUGUAGGGUGAAUGGGGAUGGGGUGGGGAGAUCACACAUCAGAUAAGGUAGGAGGUGCACAGACUUGAAGGGGCUUGAGGGUAUAUGGUCCCAGAUAGCUUCUCUGUUCUUGGGCAAGGCAAGCUGUGGGACUGAGAAAAGGGGUUGGCAUCCCCAGAGGCUCUGAACCCUGCCUUCUUUACACAGGUCCAACACCCACAGACCUCGGGAGAAGAUUCCCUGGAGACCAGACAGGUCACCACAUAGCAUAUGCAGUUAGAGCAACAGUUUACAUGGAAAAGGAAUUCAUUACCAUCUACUUUAACCGGCCCACUGUUUGUGCACAUGGCCAAGAGUCCAGGGCAAAGCUCCUUAGCUGAUAGCUGGCGAUACUUCCCCACUUGCUCUGGGAGAACAUGAGUCCAAGAUCAGGGUUGCUUUACUAAACCAUAACCACUCAAGCCAAUGGCAACAAGGGAAGAGGCCAGGGCAUUUCUCACCCUCUAUCCUCCAGCCCCAGGCUCCCACUCUGUGAAGAUGUCCAGACUUGGCCAGACAUCUGUGUGCAAAUUAUAUUUAUUUAUGAGGCUGAAUAUAUACUUCAGCUAAAGUUGAAAUAUAUAUUAAGUAUCAAGUAUCUUGGUAUG